ensembl:misc_RNA Y_RNA Y RNA
GGCUGGUCUGAGUGCAGUGGUGUUUACAACUAAUUGAUCACAACCAGUUACAGAUUUCUUUGUUCCUUCUCCACUCCCACUGCUUCACUUGACUAGCCAAAA